CAGGCCUAACACAUGCAAGUCGAACGGUAGCACAGAGAGCUUGCUCUCGGGUGACGAGUGGCGGACGGGUGAGUAAUGUCUGGGAAACUGCCUGAUGGAGGGGGAUAACUACUGGAAACGGUAGCUAAUACCGCAUAACGUCGCAAGACCAAAGAGGGGGACCUUCGGGCCUCUUGCCAUCGGAUGUGCCCAGAUGGGAUUAGCUAGUAGGUGGGGUAACGGCUCACCUAGGCGACGAUCCCUAGCUGGUCUGAGAGGAUGACCAGCCACACUGGAACUGAGACACGGUCCAGACUCCUACGGGAGGCAGCAGUGGGGAAUAUUGCACAAUGGGCGCAAGCCUGAUGCAGCCAUGCCGCGUGUAUGAAGAAGGCCUUCGGGUUGUAAAGUACUUUCAGCGGGGAGGAAGGGAGUGAGGUUAAUAACCUCAUUCAUUGACGUUACCCGCAGAAGAAGCACCGGCUAACUCCGUGCCAGCAGCCGCGGUAAU
rnacentral:rRNA from 1 species